rnacentral:rRNA from 1 species
GACGAACGCUGGCGGCGUGCUUAACACAUGCAAGUCGAACGGAAAGGCCCUGCUUGCAGGGUACUCGAGUGGCGAACGGGUGAGUAACACGUGGGUGAUCUGCCCUGCACUUCGGGAUAAGCCUGGGAAACUGGGUCUAAUACCGGAUAGGAGCCAUUUUUAGUGUGAUGGUUGGAAAGUUUUUUCGGUGUAGGAUGAGCUCGCGGCCUAUCAGCUUGUUGGUGGGGUAAUGGCCUACCAAGGCGGCGACGGGUAGCCGGCCUGAGAGGGUGGACGGCCACAUUGGGACUGAGAUACGGCCCAGACUCCUACGGGAGGCAGCAGUGGGGAAUAUUGCACAAUGGGCGCAAGCCUGAUGCAGCGACGCCGCGUGGGGGAGGACGGCCUUCGGGUUGGAAACUCCUUUCGCUAGGGACGAAGCUUUUUGUGACGGUACCUAGAAAAGAAGCACCGGCUAACUACGUG